rnacentral:lncRNA from 1 species
UUCAUUCUCUCCUUCUUCUCCAGUACUCCUCUUCAAGCAUUGCUGUUCCUCUUCUUCAAUCGUCUGUAAAUCAAACCAUCAGAUUUGGGCAUGCUUUAUUCGAUGGUGUUUCAGAUAUUGUGGGUGUAACCUGGUUAGGGUUUUUCAGAGGACGCCAUGAUGACAGAAAUGUGGUUUUUUCAAGAUUUUGACUGUCACCAGCAACCGUUAUGUUGUUUAUCAUCUUCGGUUUUUGUGUCAUAACUAAUAUAAGGUUAUAUUAUCAUCUCUAUUUCAACGGAUGCUUGUAUGGUUUGUUACAUAGGUUGCUCGAUCAAAUGCCACAAUGAAAUUUUGGUGUUUUUUGAUUGAUUUCUUUCGGUUUAGACCUAUUGGAUUCGAUUUGGAUUAUGUCUGAACUAAAUGGAUUCCAUACAUCACCCUACUCAAUUCGAUUUGGUUUGGUUUAAUUGCAGUUUGGUAGUCGUUUUCGAACAGGUAUGGCUUUGUGUUAGGUGUUCAUUUUAAUCUAAUACUUUCAUGUGAUAUAGAAUAAUCUCAUUAUUGGUUGAUUAUAUUUAUCGUGAUUACCUUUAACUUUUUAUUGUGCUCAGAC